CGGAAUUAGGGAUAGAGCUUUGGAUUAUGAGUUCUAUAUAGUGCUAAAGAGGGCUGGCUUAGGUUAUGUGAUCUAAUAUAAGUAAGGAUCUGGGGUUGGGCUUACGGGAUCUUCUCCUCCGCCGCGAAGAUAGAAGCGCGGCCACGGCAACCGCGAGAGUUUUUUGGGUAGAACGCGCGACUCGUGAGAUCGGCGGGCAGCGACCGUAGCCGGCGGAUUCGGAUUUCGACGGGAUCCGGAGGGGGAAAGGGCUCCGGCGAAGGGGACGGCGGGCCGCCGGAGGUCGGAUGGGGGCGGAGAGAGACUGAGAGAAGAGGGUGGAUGCGGAGUGCAGCGUCGGGACUCGGGAGACCGGGGUUUGGACCAGGCUAAUUUUUAAUUGGACUGGAAAUGGGCCCGAGCUCGGGCCGUGCCAGAUCUAGCCCGGUUUGGGAGAGGUAG
rnacentral:lncRNA from 1 species